rnacentral:rRNA from 1 species
GACGAACGCUGGCGGCGUGCCUAAUACAUGCAAGUAGAACGCACAGUUUAUACCGUAGCUUGCUACACCAUAGACUGUGAGUUGCGAACGGGUGAGUAACGCGUAGGUAACCUGCCUGGUAGCGGGGGAUAACUAUUGGAAACGAUAGCUAAUACCGCAUAAUAUUAAUUAUUGCAUGAUAAUUAAUUGAAAGGUGCAAUUGCACCACUACCAGAUGGACCUGCGUUGUAUUAGCUAGUAGGUGAGGUAACGGCUCACCUAGGCGACGAUACAUAGCCGACCUGAGAGGGUGAUCGGCCACACUGAGACUGAGACACGGCCCAGACUCCUACGGGAGGCAGCAGUAGGGAAUCUUCAGCAAUGGACGAGAGUCUGAACGAGCAACGCCGCGUGAGUAAAGAAGGUUUUCGGAUCGUAAAGCUCUGUUGUAAGAGAAGAACGGGUGUGAGAGUGGAAAGUUCACACUGUGACGGUAUCUUACCAGAAAGGGACGGCUAACUACGUG